UCUAUGAUGUUAUGUAGGGUUUUAGACAUUUGGGUCUUGGGUUUCAUUGAGUUCCUACUGUCACUGUCUUUUGCCCAAUGAUGGAAAACUCAUUUUUGAUACAAGGCUUCUGGUUAUUAGUUCGUCUCUGGCAUUUGCACACCACCUCCAUUCUCUCUCUCUCUCUCUCUCUCUCUCUCUCUCUCUCUCUCUCCCCCCCCUUGUACACAUGUUUUUGUGUAUGAAUGUAUGUAUAUAUAUAUAUCUUUGGCGGUAAGGUGGUGUGUGAAAAGCUAUUGAUGAUUGCCUUUACAGUGAACUGUACAUGAUCUUGGCGUAGCUAUGAGACCUGAGGGCUUUUGGCUGCACAGUUAGAGUUUACUAAGUUAGAGGUUGCCUUCAGCCAAAAGAGGCCGACUUUUGGCAUUAAUAAAUACCAAAUGCAGUGCCACUAUAAAUGUAUAUAAAUUCAUUGAAAUUUUAAUUAAUACAUCAGAGAAAUGUAAACUUUGUAUUUCUCUGGUUGAUUACGUAUUUGUAUUUACCUUUAAUCUUUGCAGUCAUGUGAGUUUGAUUUUCUAUUGUUUUAUAUGAUAAUGUGUAUGUAUGCAUUUUUCGCUUUUUGGGGUUUUUUUUUUUCUACGAGCGUAUUUUUCCAGGCAGUCUUAGAGAUAUCUUUUAGUUGUUUAAGUUUGGUCCUGAGAUCACUUCUACUUAGCAGUCUUUGAUAGUAGUUUGCUAUCCACUUGCCCUGCUAAAUGAUGGUUACUUUUGCGUAUAGAUUACUAUGCCAUUGUUGUUUCCAUCCUUUCUACUAUUUAUCAUCACUAGUUUUGGCUCUUUUUUUUUUACCUCUUGUUGUUGUUAUUAUUAUUAUUAUUAUUAUUAUUAUUAUUAUUAUUAUUAUCAUUCAUUGUCUUCUGAUUAUUGAUGGCACGGGUAGUAUUGGUUUAAUAAAAUUUAAUAGCAUAUGGUGUAUUUGAAGUUCCAAGUGUUUUAAUGUCUCCAAGUUGAUGAUGUUGCAGGUUAUAGGAGUGUAAAUAUACUGCUUUAAUUUUAAUUUGACCGUAUCACGAGUUAGAUAUUACCAUAACUAAUGUCUAAAGUAAUCAGCCUGAUGAAUGGUUGCAUUCUUAUUUUCUUAAACCUUCAUUCCUUUAUUGAGAAUUAUGCAUGUUGAGGCUAAAGCCUUAUUUUAAUUAAAUGGAAUUAUUUAUAAAUGGAAUACUGUUUUUGAGUGGCUUCAGUGAGUAAUUCUUAGUAGUGAGGAAUCCUUUUCUAUCCUUAAAACAAACCAAGGUUUUCUAUAAUCUCUCCCUCUCCUUUCCCUUAUUUUAGCUAUCCACACAUAGAAAUGGCAAAUCCUUUUAAAUCUUUUCUUUUCCUUUCCUUUACUGUUUCAAUCCAAACAUAGUGUAAAAGAUUUGUAUUUCAUAAAGUAGUUGUUAUGGAUCUUUCAAGGUAGUGCUUUGAAGUUAUGGUUGAGUUGCUCAAAAUAAAUUCCUUUUAAGAAGUUGUUAUAGUAGAUCAUAGUUUUUUCCUAUUUUAGUUUGAUUAUGGUAUUUGGUAUUUGUGUCUUGGGAUACAUUGUGAUCAGCGUUGCUGCUUUUGCCAAGUGAUGGAAAAACUCAUUUUGAUCAAGCAGUUAUGGUUUUUGAUUCAUCUAUAGCUUUUAUGCAACACCUUCGUUCUCUCUCUUCUCUCUAUACAUGCACAUGUUGUGUGAAUGCAUAUUGUAAGCAUGUAUGUAUAUCUUUGGUUGUGUGUGAGAAGCAAUUGGUGAAUAUCGUUAUUGCAAACCAUACACGAUCUUGUCAAAGUUGAAAUAUGCGUGCCAGUAGCCUUGGGCACGUUGGCCUCUUUGCGGACACUAGAUCCCAUAGGCUUGAUAUAUAGUGGUGUAAAUGAUACAUUAGUACUCGUAAGCUACUCGAGUUCGAUUCGAAUAAAAUUCGAAUUCGACUUAAUUAUUAUCGAGUCGAGCUUGAGCUUGAGUAGUUUAACUCAUUGAUAGAGUCGAGUUCGAGUAUUUUUUUACCCAGUUCGAGUAUUUCGCUAGCCUAAUCAAGCUUUUAUGUUUAAAUAUGUUUUUAUUAUUUUAAUUAAUAAAAUAUUUUGAACUCGAGCUCGAGCACAAAUAAUCGAGUUUUUGUCUACUAUAAGAAUUGAGUUUAUUUUUACAUGUUAAUCGAGACUAAUUAAGUGAGUUUGAGUAGCUCGAUUUUUAUCUUGAGUCGACUUCGAGCUAGAAAAAUAAAACUCGAUCAAGUUUGAGCCGAGUUUCGAGCCUUGAAUUUUGAAUUGAGCUCGAGCUUAAGCUUAAUAUUGUAUCGACUCAAACACGAUCGAUUACACCUCAUUGACAACAACUUCCCUCCACUCUUCCCUGCAAUACACUAGUGCAAUGUAAGCACUUGUCAUCAAGCAAACAGACCCACAAUCCACUAGUGCAAUGUAAGUACAUUGCCCGACAUUGAAGCUCAGCAAAUAAACAAGUGAUCAGACACUGUUAAUGCACAUCAAUAAACAUUCAAACAAACACACAAGUUACUUUUCUUGCCUCCACGAAGGUUUUUUUUUCCCUUGGAUGUAGGAGUUGAGGCUCUAUGAUCCAACACCUCUUGGAUUGUGGCCUACUGGUUCUUAUCCUCGCCAUAACCAAACAGUGUUGGUGAAUGUUCUCCUGCUUAACAAAGUUUAGUGAAGGACAAUUUCUCACACUCUAAAGCCUCCACUUGUUUCGCAUCACCAUCCUCUAAUUUCGGAAUUCCCCUAUUUAACGCACUCGCAUACGGUAAUUUUAUUUUUGAAAGGGAAUAGUAUUUCAUGUGCUCCACAAUGAAUUUGUCAUAGUUGGGGUGGUUAUUGGAAGGCAACCCAAUCACUCACGUAUGCUUGGGUGUUUGAAGAGAGUACAGUCAGUCAUUUCUCUCCCUCGGCUCGAAGAAGAUCAAAGAGAUCCGCCCCUUCAAUCGAUAGGUGAUGAAGUAUGUCACUACGAUUUCCCCUAAGAGUUUGGCCCUAAGCCCUAUGGGGCUCUUAUAAAUUGCGCUUUUAUGGGUUUCAAGGUUAGAUGUGGUUUUUAGUUAAAAAAAAAAAGGACAAUAAAUUAGAUGCCAAACUUAGUCCAAAGGGCAAAUGAUGUGUGUUUAAAUUUUGAGUUAUGUUUGAAUUAUGGAAUUCAUUAGUGCCAAAUACAACUCCAACUUAUGACUAGUUCAUUGUUUAUCGAAGUUUUAAUUAAGCAUUAGAGAAUACAAAUUGAGCAGUUCCUCUUUCAAACAUUCACACACAUAGUUUAACGAAUAUUAAAUUUUUGCAGUCGGGCUUGACUGAUUCUUACUUUUGUUUUUCUCUAUGAGUUUAUGUCUCCAAUUAGUUUAUGAUAUGUAUUUUACUCAUGUAAUUUUUUUUUUUUUUAUUUUGUUUUGGGAAUAUUAAGUUAUAUGGCCUUAUUACUGUGUUGGCAGUGAAAACUUAUUGAUUCACCAUCAGUGAAUUGUCAUAAGUCUCAGUUUUGAGCUCUGAGAACAUUGUAAGUUGUAGGAGUUUAGAGGUGUAUGGAAAGUUCAUAUGUUUUGAGGUUUCUCAUUGAAUGAUUUGCAGGUUGUAGGAGUUUAAAUAUGCUGCUUUCAAUUAUAAUUUGGCCUCACGAUCAGUGGCAGAGCUAGGAUUUUUAUUAAGAUGGGGCCAAAUACGCUAUGGGGAUAAACCCCCGGUGCAGGAAACUCCUCCCUAAAGGGUAGUACGUAACCAAGUCAGCCAAAUUUGCUAAUGCUAUAGAAUACAAGAUACUCACAGAUAUUGUUUCCGGUUCAAUGCAACAUGUGCUUCAUACGUUCACCGAUAAUAUCAAAGCACAAUAUUUUGUGAACAGAAGGAGAGGAAAGGCAAAACACAGAGACAUAAAAAAGCCCUCUCUUGCUCUCUCAUAAACAGAUUCUAUUGUGAUGCUCAGACUGCAUCAUUGAUGGAGAAAGUGACUGCCCCAAUCUCAAAUCAUAGAGAAAACCAAAAUAGAAAGACUCAUACAGAGAUUCCUAAAUAAAGUGUUACUGUAGCAGCACUUGUUCUCUUCUUCCUCUUCCUCCAAACCUCAGAAACAUGUAUCCCACCCAAUGCUUCCCCAAAGCCUCACCCUUGAUUCCCAAAAUUCACCUGUCAUUCUUCCCCUCGCCACUACCUCCCUUUCCCAAGAAGAAUGCCUGCCUCUCAUCCUCUGAAUCUUUGAUGACCCAGUUCUCUUCCUUUACUCAAUUCUUCACCCAACUGUACCAAAUGGGUUUCCUAAAGAACCACUCCAAAGUCGUUUGUGUCUGCUGGGGCUGGCAAUCAGGUUAUGGCUCUAUCCAAAAUGGUUCUUGAGGAUGUUACAGGUGUUGAACUGAUAAGAGUCCCUGCCUUUGGUCAGCAGUGUCGAUCGCCAUAAUCCUCCCUUUGAUAUGGCUUUUGAUGUUUGCAUUUACUGGUCAUUUGGCAGAGGCCUUGUAACCCAUGUGGUAUGCAGCAGGGGAGAUGGAGAGGACUCUCAGAAAAGUUGGAUUGUGUGUGGUAGUUGUAGAUGAGUGUGCUGAUGAGGAAGUCAAGAAGAUUGUUAGAUUGUUUAGGAGGUCUAGGCUUCUUGACUCUUCCGAUGUUGCCUUGAAUAGAAGGAAAGUGGCCGACACUAUAGUGAGAACAAAAGCUUCUGCUUAAUCAGGUUUUUUUUUUAUUUUUUUAAGGAGGUGAUUUAUUUCUUUGAUUGAGCUUAUGAUUAGAUUAUAUUGGUUUUGAGUGGUCGUGUUGAAAUUUAUGUUCAUUUUGGUUAUGGUGUACUGAUAUUGUUUGAAGGAAUUAUUUGUUGUUGUGAAUGGAAAAAUUGAAUUUUGAUAGUUCAUUAAAGCAAACGCUAAGAGUUUGCAACUCUAUCUUGAUUGCCUGCCUAGGCUCAUCUUGGGUAGAGAAUGGCAGUAAGACCAUCUAUUAUCUGUUUUCUGCUGAAAACUGAACUCUCUGGGGCUUAAUAUGUCCUCCAUCGCCUAGUAACAAUAUGAAUAUAAUUUUUUCUAUUCAUUUCUUUUCAUCCACACGUGGUUGUUGGCAGUAAUAAUUACAAUAAUUUUGUUUAGUUCUUUUGGUGAUGCUCUGCUUUCACGCAUAGAAUUCACAGACAUCUUUCUUUGAAAAUGUCAAACCUGGAUGUAAUCUCAGAAAGGCCAACCUAGGUCCCCGUUGAUUUAAACUGUUUCUAGCUGGUGCUGCUAUUGAAUGGAGGUCAUUUAACUGGUCUUUUAUGUUAAUGGAUGCUGGAGUCCUUAACAGGGAUAUACUUGGUGUGAUUCGGGUAGCAUCUUCGUCGAUGACAUUGUAGCUAAAGGAACCUUGAAAAGUGUUGUUAACGGAUUUUCUAGUGAUAGUUCAUCUGCCUUCUAAUCCAUGAAGUCGCUUGUAGCGUCAAAACUGUUAAAAUCUAGGGCUUUCAUUAUUAUACAUUCAUGCAGUAAUUUCAAGCAUCCGCUUUUUCCCAAGUCAAGCCGUCCAAUUAAGAGACCUUGUGCAUUUUUUUCCUGAAGGUAGCAUUAGUUGUGGUUUGAAGUUGACU